rnacentral:rRNA from 1 species
GAUGAACGCUAGCUACAGGCUUAACACAUGCAAGUCGAGGGGCAGCAUGGUCUUAGCUUGCUAAGGCCGAUGGCGACCGGCGCACGGGUGAGUAACACGUAUCCAACCUGCCGUCUACUCUUGGACAGCCUUCUGAAAGGAAGAUUAAUACAAGAUGGCAUCAUGAGUCCACAUGUUCACAUGAUUAAAGGUAUUCCGGUAGACGAUGGGGAUGCGUUCCAUUAGAUAGUAGGCGGGGUAACGGCCCACCUAGUCUUCGGUGGAUAGGGGUUCUGAGAGGAAGGUCCCCCACAUUGGAACUGAGACACGGUCCAAACUCCUACGGGAGGCAGCAGUGAGGAAUAUUGGUCAAUGGGCGAGAGCCUGAACCAGCCAAGUAGCGUGAAGGAUGACUGCCCUAUGGGUUGUAAACUUCUUUUAUAAAGGAAUAAAGUCGGGUAUGGAUACCCGUUUGCAUGUACUUUAUGAAUAAGGAUCGGCUAACUCCGUGCCAGCAGCCGCGGUAAUACGGAGGAUCCGAGCGUUAUCCGGAUUUAUUGGGUUUAAAGGGAGCGUAGAUGGAUGUUUAAGUCAGUUGUGAAAGUUUGCGGCUCAACCGUAAAAUUGCAGUUGAUACUGGAUAUCUUGAGUGCAGUUGAGGCAGGCGGAAUUCGUGGUGUAGCGGUGAAAUGCUUAGAUAUCACGAAGAACUCCGAUUGCGAAGGCAGCCUGCUAAGCUGCAACUGACAUUGAGGCUCGAAAGUGUGGGUAUCAAACAGGAUUAGAUACCCUGGUAGUCCACACGGUAAACGAUGAAUACUCGCUGUUUGCGAUAUACAGCAAGCGGCCAAGCGAAAGCGUUAAGUAUUCCACCUGGGGAGUACGCCGGCAACGGUGAAACUCAAAGGAAUUGACGGGGGCCCGCACAAGCGGAGGAACAUGUGGUUUAAUUCGAUGAUACGCGAGGAACCUUACCCGGGCUUAAAUUGCAGAUGAAUUACGGUGAAAGCCGUAAGCCGCAAGGCAUCUGUGAAGGUGCUGCAUGGUUGUCGUCAGCUCGUGCCGUGAGGUGUCGGCUUAAGUGCCAUAACGAGCGCAACCCUUGUUGUCAGUUACUAACAGGUUCCGCUGAGGACUCUGACAAGACUGCCAUCGUAAGAUGUGAGGAAGGUGGGGAUGACGUCAAAUCAGCACGGCCCUUACGUCCGGGGCUACACACGUGUUACAAUGGGGGGUACAGAGGGCCGCUACCACGCGAGUGGAUGCCAAUCCCAAAAACCUCUCUCAGUUCGGACUGGAGUCUGCAACCCGACUCCACGAAGCUGGAUUCGCUAGUAAUCGCGCAUCAGCCACGGCGCGGUGAAUACGUUCCCGGGCCU